rnacentral:rRNA from 1 species
UACGGAGGGUGCAAGCGUUAUCCGGAUUCACUGGGUUUAAAGGGUGCGUAGGCGGAUUUACAAGUCAGUGGUGAAAUCUCCCGGCUUAACCGGGAAACUGCCAUUGAAACUGUUUAUCUUGAGUACAUUUGAGGCGGGCGGAAUGUGUCAUGUAGAGGUGAAAUUCUUAGAUAUGACACAGAACAUCAAUUGCGAAGGCAGCUCGCUAAACUGUAACUGACGCUGAGGCACGAAAGCGUGGGGAUCAAACAGG